rnacentral:tRNA from 1 species
GGCCCCUUCGUCUAGUGGUCUAGGACGCCGGCCUCUCACGCCGGUAACACGGGUUCGAGUCCCGUAGGGGUCACCA